UGCCAAUCAGCCCAUUGUGCCAUGAGUCGACUCAUGGGGUCGACUCAAAUUUUCAAACAUGGAUAUCUUUCAAAAUACAUGUCCAAAAACUAUAAAAUUUUCACCAAUGGAUCAUAAAUCUUUUGUUCUAGCACUUGAUGCUUUCAAAUCAGGGUUUGAUAAAAUUAUGAUUUUAUCUCUGAAAUGCAAUAAGUCUUUUUCAAGCAAAAAUCAUUAGUAACCCCUUCAAUUGCUUUGUAAUCAUCAAAAUCAAUCCAAGGAGCAACAAUCUCCCCCUUUUUGAUGAUGACAAAAUACUUGAGUAAAAGCAUAUAUAAAACAUUGAGCAUGAAUUUCAAAGUUAUGAAGAU
rnacentral:lncRNA from 1 species